GUGACUGCAGGCUGCUACGUGUUAACCACACAUACCUCUACACACAUCGAACUGCCCGAUUAGGGAGAGUGGGGUAAUUUGUGCCAAGGGGCAAGUAUUGCCACCCCUGUUAUCUAGAAAACCAUAGAAGAAGUUGGUCAUGUGACCACAUAUUUUUGAAGAGGCAUCCAUUUCAAUCAUCCUGCAAAGAAGGGAGACACAUGGCUUGAGAGACCAAAAUCCAUCAUGCCACGCAAAUACAAAAGGAAGACAGACAGGGUUUCAACUCCUCUUGAGGAGUUGGAAAGAGCAGUGAAAGAGGUGCAACAGGGGAAGACCAUACGUCAGGUUGGAAAGGAGAUGAAGAUCUGCAGGAUGACCAUAAAAAGAUAUAUGGAUAA